rnacentral:rRNA from 1 species
GACGAAUUUUGGCGGCGUGCUUAACACAUGCAAGUCGAACGGAAAGGCCCUGCUUUUGUGGGGUGCUCGAGUGGCGAACGGGUGAGUAACACGUGAGUAACCUGCCCUUGACUUUGGGAUAACUUCAGGAAACUGGGGCUAAUACCGGAUAGGAGCUCCUGCUGCAUGGUGGGGGUUGGAAAGUUUCGGCGGUUGGGGAUGGACUCGCGGCUUAUCAGCUUGUUGGUGGGGUAGUGGCUUACCAAGGCUUUGACGGGUAGCCGGCCUGAGAGGGUGACCGGCCACAUUGGGACUGAGAUACGGCCCAGACUCCUACGGGAGGCAGCAGUGGGGAAUAUUGCACAAUGGGCGGAAGCCUGAUGCAGCAACGCCGCGUGCGGGAUGACGGCCUUCGGGUUGUAAACCGCUUUCGCCUGUGACGAAGCGUGAGUGACGGUAAUGGGUAAAGAAGCACCGGCUAACUACGUGCCAGCAGCCGCGGUGAUACGUAGGGUGCGAGCGUUGUCCGGAUUUAUUGGGCGUAAAGGGCUCGUAGGUGGUUGAUCGCGUCGGAAGUGUAAUCUUGGGGCUUAACCCUGAGCGUGCUUUCGAUACGGGUUGACUUGAGGAAGGUAGGGGAGAAUGGAAUUCCUGGUGGAGCGGUGGAAUGCGCAGAUAUCAGGAGGAACACCAGUGGCGAAGGCGGUUCUCUGGGCCUUUCCUGACGCUGAGGAGCGAAAGCGUGGGGAGCGAACAGGCUUAGAUACCCUGGUAGUCCACGCUGUAAACGGUGGGUACUAGGUGUGGGGUCCAUUCCACGGGUUCCGUGCCGUAGCUAACGCUUUAAGUACCCCGCCUGGGGAGUACGGCCGCAAGGCUAAAACUCAAAGGAAUUGACGGGGCCCCGCACAAGCGGCGGAGCAUGCGGAUUAAUUCGAUGCAACGCGUAGAACCUUACCUGGGUUUGACAUGGAUCGGGAGUGCUCAGAGAUGGGUGUGCCUCUUUUGGGGUCGGUUCACAGGUGGUGCAUGCCUGUCGUCAGCUCGUGUCGUGAGAUGUUGGGUUAAGUCCCGCAACGAGCGCAACCCUUGUUCACUGUUGCCAGCACGUUAUGGUGGGGACUCAGUGGAGACCGCCGGGGUCAACUCGGAGGAAGGUGGGGAUGACGUCAAGUCCUCAUGCCCCUUAUGUCCAGGGCUUCACGCAUGCUACAAUGGCUGGUACAGAGAGUGGCGAGCCUGUGAGGGUGAGCGAAUCUCGGAAAGCCGGUCUCAGUUCGGAUUGGGGUCUGCAACUCGACCUCAUGAAGUCGGAGUCGCUAGUAAUCGCAGAAAAGCAACGCUGCGGUGAAUACGUUCCCGGGGCU